CCUACGGGAGGCUGCAGUGGGGAAUAUUGCACAAUGGGGGAAACCCUGAUGCAGCGACGCCGCGUGAGUGAAGAAGUAAUUCGUUAUGUAAACCUCUGUCCUCUGUGAAGAUAAUGAUGGUAGCAGAGGAGGAAGCUCCGGCUAACUACGUGCCAGCAGCCGCGGUAAUACGUAGGGGGCAAGCGUUGUCCGGAUUUACUGGGUGUAAAGGGUGCGUAGGCGGCCUUGCAAGUCAGAAGUGAAAUGCAUGGGCUUAACCCGUGGACUGCUUUUGAAACUGUAGGGCUUGAGUGAAGGAGAGGCAGGCGGAAUUCCCGGUGUAGCGGUGAAAUGCGUAGAGAUCGGGAGGAACACCAGUGGCGAAGGCGGCCUGCUGGGCUUUAACUGACGCUGAAGCACGAAAGCGUGGGUAGCAAACAGGAUUAGAUACCCUUGUAGUC
rnacentral:rRNA from 1 species